AGUGGAAUUGCUAGGUCAUAUGGUAAUUGUAUAUUUAGUUUUUUGAGGAACUGCCAAACUGUUUUCCAAAGUGCUUGCACCAUUUUGACAUUCCCACCAGCAAU
rnacentral:pre_miRNA from 1 species